CCUACGGGCGGCAGCAGUGAGGAAUAUUGGUCAAUGGACGAGAGUCUGAACCAGCCAAGUAGCGUGAAGGAUGACUGCCCUAUGGGUUGUAAACUUCUUUUUUAUGGGAAUAAAAUGUUCCACGUGUGGGAUUUUGUAUGUACCAUAUGAAUAAGGAUCGGCUAACUCCGUGCCAGCAGCCGCGGUAAUACGGAGGAUCCGAGCGUUAUCCGGAUUUAUUGGGUUUAAAGGGAGCGUAGGUGGAUUGUUAAGUCAGUUGUGAAAGUUUGCGGCUCAACCGUAAAAUUGCAGUUGAAACUGGCAGUCUUGAGUACAGUAGAGGUGGGCGGAAUUCGUGGUGUAGCGGUGAAAUGCUUAGAUAUCACGAAGAACUCCGAUUGCGAAGGCAGUUCACUGGACUGCAACUGACACUGAGGCUCGAAAGUGUGGGUAUCAAACAGGAUUAGAUACCCCAGUAGUC
rnacentral:rRNA from 1 species